rnacentral:misc_RNA from 1 species
UCCUCUUUACAGAGGCAGUUUCGCUCGAGUCCCCGGCAUUAUCCGCUGGUAACAAACGAUGAGGGUUGCGCUCGUUGCGGGACUUAACCCAACAUUUCACAACACGAGCUGACGACAGCCAUGCACCACCUGUGCCCCACCCUCGAAGGCGACUCCUUUUCGGGAGCUUGCAGGGGCAUGUCAAGCCCUGGUAAGGUUCUGCGCGUUGCGUCGAAUUAAACCACAUGCUCCACCGCUUGUGCGGGCCCCCGUCAAUUCCUUUGAGUUUUAGCCUUGCGGCCGUACUCCCCAGGCGGGGUGCUUAAUGCGUUAGCUUCGGCACGGAAGGAGUCGACACCUCCCACACCUAGCACCCAUCGUUUACGGCGUGGACUA